rnacentral:rRNA from 1 species
AUGGAUUUUCUUGAACCAACAUUAGCCUUAGAUGAGACACAUUAUCAAGAGGGUUAUACAAAUGGGUAUGAUGAUGGCCUGGUAUCUGGAAAGGAAGAGGCAAGGCAGGUUGGCUUAAAGAAUGGUUUCCAGGCUGGCGAAGAACUGGGAUUCUAUCAGGGCUGCUUGGAUGUGUGGAUGUCAGUAAUUCGCCUUGAUCAAGAUGCAUUCUCAGCUCGGGUGAGGAAAUACAUGGAGCAACUAGCUGCACUUGUGAGCAACUAUCCUUUGUCUGAUCCAGAGGAUGAGCAGCUUCAAGGCAUGAUGAGGGAGAUAAGACUGAAAUUCAGCGUUAUCACGGGAAGCUUAGGAGCAAAAUUGGGGUAUGAAGGUCGCCCCACAUCAUCUGAGCAAGACAUCGAGGAUAUGUAG